GAUGAAGAACGUAGUGAAAUGCGAUAAGUAAUGUGAAUUGCAGAAUUCAGUGAAUCAUCGAAUCUUUGAACGCACAUUGCGCCCCUUGGUAUUCCGAGGGGCAUGCCUGUUCGAGCGUCAUUUAAACCAAUCUAGCUUGCUAGGUCUUGGGCUUUCGCCUCUGGGCGGGCCUCAAAAUCAGUGGCGGUGCUGCCGGGCUUUAAGCGUAGUAAUCUUUCUCGCUAUAGGGUCCUGGUAGAGGCUUGCCAACAACUAUAAAUCUUUCAAAGGUUGACCUCGGAUCAGGUAGGGAUACCCGCUGAACUUAAGCAUAUCAAUAAGCGGAGGA
rnacentral:misc_RNA from 1 species